UACGUAGGGACCAAGCGUUGUCCGGAAUCAUUGGGCGUAAAGGGCGCGUAGGCGGCCUGGCAAGUGGAUGGUGAAAUCCCUCGGCUUAACCGAGGAACUGCCAUCCAGACUGCUUGGCUUGAGACCGGGAGAGGUGAGUGGAAUUCCCAGUGUAGCGGUGAAAUGCGUAGAUAUUGGGAGGAACACCAGUGGCGAAGGCGGCUCACUGGACCGGUACUGACGCUGAGGCGCGAAAGCGUGGGGAGCAAACGGG
rnacentral:rRNA from 1 species